rnacentral:rRNA from 1 species
AUUGAACGCUGGCGGCAGGCCUAACACAUGCAAGUCGAGCGAGCGGCGGACGGGUGAGUAAUGUCUGGGAAACUGCGCGAUGGAGGGGGAUAACUACUGGAAACGGUAGCUAAUACCGCAUACCAUCAGAUGUGCCCAGAUGGGAUUAGCUAGUAGGUGGGGUAAAGGCGCACCUAGGCGACGAUCCCUAUAUGGUCUGAGAGGAUGACCAGCCACACUGGAACUGAGACACGGUCCAGACUCCUACGUGAGGCAGCAUUGGGGAAUAUUGCACAAGGGGCGCAAGCCUGAUGCAUCCAUGCCGCGUGUGUGAAGAAGGCCUUCGGGUUGUAAAGCACUUUCAGCGAGGAGGCGUUACUCGCAGAAGAAGCACCGGCUAACUCCGUGCCAGCAGCCGCGAUAAUUC